GAUUAGCUAGUUGGUGGGGUAAAGGCUCACCAAGGCGACGAUCAGUAGUGGGUCUGAGAGGAUGAUCCGCCACACUGGGACUGAGACACGGCCCAGACUCCUACGGGAGGCAGCAGUGGGGAAUUUUGGACAAUGGGGGAAAGCCUGAUCCAGCCAUGCCGCGUGUGUGAAGAAGGC
rnacentral:rRNA from 1 species